GAUGAACGCUGGCGGCGUGCCUAAUACAUGCAAGUCGAGCGAACGGACGAGAAGCUUGCUUCUCUGAUGUUAGCGGCGGACGGGUGAGUAACACGUGGAUAACCUACCUAUAAGACUGGGAUAACUUCGGGAAACCGGAGCUAAUACCGGAUAAUAUUUUGAACCGCAUGGUUCAAAAGUGAAAGACGGUCUUGCUGUCACUUAUAGAUGGAUCCGCGCUGCAUUAGCUAGUUGGUAAGGUAACGGCUUACCAAGGCAACGAUGCAUAGCCGACCUGAGAGGGUGAUCGGCCACACUGGAACUGAGACACGGUCCAGACUCCUACGGGAGGCAGCAGUAGGGAAUCUUCCGCAAUGGGCGAAAGCCUGACGGAGCAACGCCGCGUGAGUGAUGAAGGUCUUCGGAUCGUAAAACUCUGUUAUUAGGGAAGAACAUAUGUGUAAGUAACUGUGCACAUCUUGACGGUACCUAAUCAGAAAGCCACGGCUAACUACGUGCCAGCAGCCGCGGUAAUACGUAGGUGGCAAGCGUUAUCCGGAAUUAUUGGGCGUAAAGCGCGCGUAGGCGGUUUUUUAGUCUGAUGUGAAAGCCCACGGCUCAAUUGUGGAGGGUCAUUGGAAACUGGAAAACUUGAGUGCAGAAGAGGAAAGUGGAAUUCCAUGUGUAGCGGUGAAAUGCGCAGAGAUAUGGAGGAACACCAGUGGCGAAGGCGACUUUCUGGUCUGUAACUGACGCUGAUGUGCGAAAGCGUGGGGAUCAAACAGGAUUAGAUACCCUGGUAGUCCACGCCGUAAACGAUGAGUGCUAAGUGUUAGGGGGUUUCCGCCCCUUAGUGCUGCAGCUAACGCAUUAAGCACUCCGCCUGGGGAGUACGACCGCAAGGUUGAAACUCAAAGGAAUUGACGGGGACCCGCACAAGCGGUGGAGCAUGUGGUUUAAUUCGAAGCAACGCGAAGAACCUUACCAAAUCUUGACAUCCUUUGACAACUCUAGAGAUAGAGCCUUCCCCUUCGGGGGACAAAGUGACAGGUGGUGCAUGGUUGUCGUCAGCUCGUGUCGUGAGAUGUUGGGUUAAGUCCCGCAACGAGCGCAACCCUUAAGCUUAGUUGCCAUCAUUAAGUUGGGCACUCUAAGUUGACUGCCGGUGACAAACCGGAGGAAGGUGGGGAUGACGUCAAAUCAUCAUGCCCCUUAUGAUUUGGGCUACACACGUGCUACAAUGGACAAUACAAAGGGCAGCGAAACCGCGAGGUCAAGCAAAUCCCAUAAAGUUGUUCUCAGUUCGGAUUGUAGUCUGCAACUCGACUACAUGAAGCUGGAAUCGCUAGUAAUCGUAGAUCAGCAUGCUACGGUGAAUACGUUCCCGGGUCU
rnacentral:rRNA from 1 species